GUCAACGACCAUACCACCCUGAACGUGUCUAGUCUCACCUGAUCUUGGAAACUAAGCAGGGUUGGGCCUGGUUGGUAGUUGGAUGGGAGAAUGAACCCAUCACUGAGCUAAGCCCUUCAAGUGAAGUGUUUUAUGUUGCUUCCU
rnacentral:rRNA from 1 species